rnacentral:rRNA from 1 species
GGAAUAUUGCGCAAUGGGGGCAACCCUGACGCAGCGACGCCGCGUGGGUGAGGAAGGCUUUCGGGUCGUAAAACCCUGUCAGAUGGGAAGAAAUGCUUAUAGGUUAAUAUCCUGUGAGUUUGACGGUACCAUCAAAGGAAGCACCGGCUAACUCCGUGCCAGCAGCCGCGGUAAUACGGAGGGUGCAAGCGUUGUUCGGAAUCACUGGGCGUAAAGGGCGCGUAGGCGGCUUGGCAAGUCAGAUGUGAAAGCCCACGGCUUAACCGUGGAAGUGCAUUUGAAACUGCUUGGCUUGAGUAUCAGAGGGGAAAGUGGAAUUCCCGGUGUAGAGGUGAAAUUCGUAGAUAUCGGGAGGAAUACCGGUGGCGAAGGCGACUUUCUGGCUGAAUACUGACGCUGAGGCGCGAAAGCGUGGGGAGCAAACAGGAUUA